GGACGCGGCCGCCUCCCCUCCGCCUUGCGGCAGGUGGUGCGUGCCGGCACUCAGGCCCGGCCUCGCCACGGCCCCCCCGCGCGGCGCCGGCUUGGUAUGCGCCGGGCUGCGGCAGCGCGGCAAGGCGGGCGCGGCCCCCGGCAUCGCCGCGCCGUGGUAGGCGCCUCCGGGGGCGGGCUGUGGCCCGGCUCGGGGAGCGGAGCCUGCCGGUACUCGUGCGGCCCUGCGGGGCUGUCCGUCUCCGGGUCGCUCCUUUGCAGCUCUUCCCGCUUCGGCUUUUCCUUCGUGUUCGCGCAGCGCUCUGUUGGCGGGGCUGACGGACAAAGGGCGGUGUGGGAGCGGGGUUGUCGGGCUGAGCCUGGCGGGGCAGCUGCCUGAUGUGCGCCCGUCUGACUCCUGUGCCGGGGAGAGCUGUGGAGAAAGGCGAGGCUUUGUGCUUUGGAGCCCCGUCCUGCGGCCUCGCUGGGCUGUGAGGGGCCCGUCCUGUGCUGGGGAGGGCGUGGGAGAGCACAGGGAGACCAGCGGCAGGGAGAGCUGCAGGUUGGCAUAACGGCCCUGCGGGUUUAACUGAAACGAGGGGUGAAACGCCACUCUUAGUUCUUCAGUGAAGUGCUACAGCACAUAACGUUGGAUUUCUUUCAUAUAGCUUGUUAUAAGAACAUACGUUGUAUAAUCAAUGAGUAUAUAGACGUAAAAUCAGUGACAAUACAGAGAAGAAUACUGGGCUUACCAAAAAAAAGACUCCACGAGGAGCCAUCUCCAGGGAGAGACCCCUCCCCAGCGGCAGUCAGCCCUGGAAUGGGCUCUAGCAGAGGUGCAGCCUGGCUGCAGCCCUUCCACUCACACAGCUCAACUGCCUUCACCUGUGCUCCCACGGCUGACUCAGCGCUCGCCUCAGGUGGUCAAUCAGAGGUUCAGGCCGUGAUUCAACAGUUCCUGUACAUACAUCCACUGAAAAACGUGGAGUUUAUGCAGAUAAAAGCCACAUGCGUUGUGGUAACUGCCUUUUUACUUGUGUAUCUACAGGGAGCAGCACGCCAGCACUGUUUCCUAGAACCUGUCGCUUACUGUGCAGGUGAGCUCAGUGUAACUGCGUCUGUAGUUUCUCAUAAUCGGUUGUGACUGUGGCCCUUUAGAUGUGCUCUCCAAAAGAAGCACUGCUAGAAGUGUGAUGGCUUCCAAAUGUGGAAGCAUUUCUGCAGGUGUCCUGCUCUUGUCUUUUAACAAGUCUGUUCAACAGUAGGCCUAAGUUCCCUUCUGCUACCAAAAUCCAGGAAUGAAACUUGACGACGUGAAUGACAGAUUAGGAAGCAGAUAUUACUUUAUUGCAGUGCUUGGUGCGUGAGGGAUUGCUCCUCACCAUCUGAAAGCACACAGAUUUUGUAUGCUUUAAUACACAAAUAUUCAUAGGGUUUCCUCAGAGUGCCCACCUAGUCCCAGAAUUGCUAUACAUAUUAAAAUCUGGUACUAUGCAUAAACCCAUGUUAGUGUGGUUUUUUUGCAAGGGGGCCUGUGGUGGUUGUGAGGUUCCACUGGGAGGUGCUAUCCAGGUGAAGGGUUGUCUGUUAUGUAGGCCAGGUCCUGUACUUGGUCAAGAACCUAUUUACAAAACCAUGACCGUUGACUUAGUUUCUAAUGAGCACAUCAAUCUUGUUACAGUGCUUGUAUCAUCAGCCCUACAGUGUACCUCCUCAAGGCUGGUGAAAUGCUGAGGCUCUACUUUUAGGCUCCAGAAGUCCUGCUUAUCUAGGACAGAGUCUUCUCUAGACAAAAUACCAGUCGGCUGAAGAGUUUGAACUCAUUGCUAAAGGCUCUGAACUUAUUGCCAGGUAUGAAUAUGAGGAUUUAUAGGGUUUUUGCAAGAUGGGAUCCCACAAAGAUCGCAAGCUAUCAUUUGUGACUGCAGCGAGACUGUACUGCUGCAGUGGUAUUCUUUGAGGGGAACCUGAAAUCUGCUGAUAGAAAUGGUUUCUCUGCCACUAGUUUUCAUUAAAGCCAAAUGUAUCUGUGAAGUUAAUUCAUUAUCUCAUAGUAAAGAACAGCUCACACACGUAAGCUGAAUUUGUUUUGUGAAAUGCACAGAUUAUUUUGCUUACAGGGUUUUAAAAUAUACUGUCUCCAGGCUGAACAAAUGCCUAGUUUCACUGGGCCCAGGUGAGAACCAGGCAGCACAGUGCUUGGGAAAAGCUUUACCUGGUGUUCAUCAUGAGUAGGAGUCGUCCCCACCUGUGAAGCCUGGGUUCCUGAUGGAGAAGUUGCUGAUCCUCCUCACCUGUGUCAUCUGAGUGGUUUAGAGGAAUCAUGCCAUCGGACACAGAUCAGUAAUGCUUGUUGCUUGAUCCAACUGCUGUAUAGCUGAUGAAUUCAUGGAUUUAAGACAAAUAAUCCGUAUUUCAUUACUAGCAAGUGCUAGAAAUAAAAAUGUACUCUGCACUAUUGCUUGGAAAAACAAAUCCUGAAGUCGUAAGAGAGGAUUAAAGUUGGAAAAAAAUCUCUCAAGAGAAAAACGAAGGGAGUAAUGACAUCUGCUUAGCAGCAUCCAGCCCCUCAGCCUGCAGCACGGACCUCUGGAGCCCUUACACACGGAAUAAAAGGGGAUGCAGUGAGUGAGGAGCAGCAGAACUGCAAGCAGAGCAGCGCUACUGGUGUAAGAUGGCAUUAGGAAGAGUGGAGUUUUGUUAAUGGGUCAUGGAAAGUAGGUUCUACCUCUCAUAAUGCAAACUGUCUUAUUUUUGUUUCAUUUCCUUCCCAGGGUGGUGUUCUACCAUGGCAGUAAACAAAGCCAUCGGUUGCAGACUUCUGCACCAAUUCAGGUGGCUCCAUUGAAGGUGUAAGAUUGGAGGUGUGAGGUUUCUCAGCAGUGGGACGUUACCACCUAGCUGUGAGCUGGCUUUGCUCUGGUGGGCGUCCUGCUGUUCCCCCACAGUGAGCUGUGUUCUGGUUCUGUUGGAAGGCUGCCCGGUCCUUCUGCCGGGUUUAUAUUCCACUUAAACGCGUGGCUAUUCAAGUGACCAACCUUUUGGAGUGUCUCGUUUGGCUUUGCCUUAAACGUUUGCUGCUCCUACCCCUUCCCCCCUUCCUACAGAGGCCUUUUUAUAGGUGGCCUGUAGUGCCAUAUAGUUUUUGCUUAGAGUUGAGCAUUUUCCUAAGCUUAUGGGGUUAACCACGAUUAUGGGAGAGUUCUUGAAGCAUUUUUGAAUGUAAUGCUUUUAUUUAAUGUUUGUAAGCAAGUUCAAAGGUGUCAGAUACAAAUGUCCCAGUAUGGCACAAGGACGAGACGUGGCAUUGGGGAUUGGGCUGUUCUGUUGCUAGUGCACACAAAUGUGGCAAUGAACUUUUUCCCUCGUGCUUUAGAGCAUUAAAACAGCUGUUUUGGAUCAGAGCAAAGUGGGCAGCAGCUGUGGCAGUGAUCUGCCUGUGAUUAGUGGGCUCAGGCACUCGUGGAGUCACAGAUGGGCUUUGUGCUCUUAAGGGCACUGUGCUUUUAGGGCUCCCGCUUUUGCACCAGUGUGCUUCUUAAAGUGCUAAAAGUUUUCCCAGCUGGAAGUCCUCACAGCAUCACACAGCAAAGAGCUCUGGGUAUCAGCAUCCACACAAAGGCACCGCGCAGUCCGCCUGUGUUCCAAUGGGCACAAACAGCACUGAUUGCGUAUUAAAGCCAUUGUCACCAUCACAACCUGGGAGGAGAGCAGAGUGCCAGGACGCUGCAGGACCCCGAAGAUUAUGUCUUAUAAAUAAACAGCUCAAAUUUGUCUGAAGCCUCAGCGUGCGAUGUAUGGAGCGUUGCAUUCUGACCGUGUUACGCCAAGAUUGCUGCUAAUGGCUUUUGGCAGCACAGCCACCAAGUCAGAAAGCUGAGAUGAUUGCAGAUUGUCUGCUUCCAUACACAUCAUACAGCUGCCUGGAAGACGGUGGAGGCAGCGCCUAAUUGAUGUUUGUUCUUGUCAAUGCGUGAUCGGGUUUUGAUGCAAGGUUCUCCUCUUUUGUGCUCUUCUGGUCAAAUUUUCGUUUAAAUUUGUAUUCUGUGCUGAACAGUAGUGCCAGCAGAACCAUAAGCGAGGAGUUUAAAUUUAGGAUGUGUUGCAGAAAUCCAAAAAUGCUUUACUGUUUGGGUAAAAACGUUUUUGUGUUUUUUUUUCCCCUUCAGCUGCUGCUCUGCAUGCCGUAAAACAGCAAUCCGAAGGGUUUGCUCUGAAAGCAUCUCUUUGUGCCCUGGGCCAGUGACCCCACUGCUGUGCCAGUAAAUCAUGGCAAGCUGGAGGAAUCUCCCUGAUUUCUGAGCUCCUAAUCCCGCAAAGCCUGUAAAUGAUGGCUGGCUUAGCUUUGUUUCUGAUAAAACGAGGCUUAUGAGAUGAUGACAUUUGCUGCCUGUUUCUCCUCCGCUCCGUUCCGUGUCACCACCCAAGAGAUCUCUGGAGCCCAUCAGUGCAAGGCUGUGUGCCUAGUGCUACAACACUACCGCGUGCUGGAGAGCAGGGAGGAGCCUGGGUGAAUGUAUGGGAAUGAAUUUGGCUGUGUUAGCACUCCGAUCCCCUUCUGCAUGAUGUGCUUCCCCUGUUCUGCAGUGUCUGAUGCAGGUAUUGGGUCAGCCCAGUGAUGUUUGCUUCCUGGAGAGCACGCAUGGAACCUGCUGAUGGAGUUUGUUAACAGCCCCGCUGUUCCUUAAGCCAAGCUGGGUUUUUGCUUUGAUAAAACCUCUGGGCAUGGUGUGUGGCUGUACAGAGUGUGAGAACUCAGGGAGGUUCUUUACUCUGAGAGUGGCGAGGUGCUGAACAGCUGCCCAGAGAGGCUGUGGAUGCCCCGUCCAUCCCUGGAGGUGUUCAAGGCCAGGUUGGAUGGGCCCUGGGCAGCCUGGGC
rnacentral:lncRNA from 1 species